rnacentral:lncRNA from 1 species
CCAGCGCGGCGCCCGCCGCCAGGGCGUCCAGCAUCCGGAGCCGCCGAGCGUCGAGGGGCCCUGCGCCUUCUUGGAGGCGCUGACAGGCCCCAAAGACGUCCGACGCCACACGCGAGAGCAGCCGCAUCCGGUCGGGCGCACGCGGCGCCGUCUCUUGGCUCGUCAUCAACGCCCGCCGUAUCUCUUUUUUUCCAAUCCCUCUCUCUCUCUCUGUGUGUGACCUGGCCUUGUUUUCGUUGGAGGCUGAUGGGGAUCAGGCGAUUGGCGGAAAAAAGUGGAAAAGCAAGAGAGAAUGAAAAAAUGUG